AUGGAGGCUGUGGUGACGGCGGCGGCCACCUCAGUCGUGGAGUGGAUGGUGCCGAAGCUCUUUGAUUCCUUGCUGGCAAAGCACAAGCUCCGGAAGAGCCUGGAGAUUGACAUCAACUACAUCAAGAAGGAGUUUGCUAUGAUUUCGGCCGUCAUCCAGGAUGAUGAUCGCCGCAGCGGCUGUCGUGGCGGCCGUGAAGAUGUGAAUAUGGUGUGGAUCAAUAUGGUGCGUGAAUUGGCGCACGCCAUAGAGGACUGCAUCGACCGCUUCAUGCACCGUGUGACGGCCAACCCAGACACUGGGAGACGGUGCCAGGCUGUCCACCGGGUGAAGACGUUGAAGGCCCGGAACAAGUUUGCUGCGGAGAUCCAGCUGCUCAAGAGGAGAUCAGAGGAUUUAUUCCAGCUGAGAGACACAUACAGCAACACUAGCAGCAGCACCUCCUCACCAAGGUGGUCAUUGUCGUCUGAACAGACAGACACGCCGACGGCAAUUGAGGACGACGAGGAUGGCACCCAAUUAGCAGCAUCCAUCCCCAUGCCCGUGGGUAUGGACGGUCCCCACAAUGAGCUCCUGGAUCUUAUCCAGCAGGAGCAGCAGCUGAAAGUGAUUACCAUUGUGGGGUUCCAUGGUAUGGGGAAGACUCUUCUUGCAAAUCAUGUGUACAAGGCGAUUGAGAGCCAAUACGAAGCAAGGGCUUGGGUCCCUCCAAGGAAACUAGGGGGAAACUGGGCAGCCGCGGAUGUUCUCAAGGAGAUACUCCGGCAGCUUCGCCACCUUCCCCUGCCCACCAGUGGCGGUCUCGCCCAGCUUAAGGCAAGCAUCAAAGAGUGCAUUGGGACAAAGAGGUUCUUCAUUGUAGUUGAUGACUUGCAGAAAAAAACACAUUGGCAUGCCAUAAAGGCAGCCUUCAUGGGUUUAAGUGGCAGAUUUCUGGUAACAACGUCCAUUCAGCAAGUAGCAAACACAUGCAGCAGCUCAUCUGUUCAUGAUAAUGUUUACACAAUGGCAACUCUUGCCGACCAACACUCAAGACUAUUAUUCUUCAAGGAGGCUUUCCAAGAUGAUGAUCUACCGCCACAUGCGGAGGAGCUCGGCUCCGAAGCUCUCAAGAAAUGUGAUGGCCUUCCCCUUGCUCUUGUUGCCACUGCCAGGUUCUUGCAAAGCACAGGUAAUCCAACACCCAGGGAGUGGGCAAGGUUAUGUGCCAACCUGGGUACACAUCUGGAGACUGAUGAGCUAUUUGCAAGAAUGAGGCGUGUGCUUGUGCAGAGCUACACCAGCCUUGAUACCCAGGUUGCCAGGACAUUCUUGCUCUAUUUGGGUACCUACCCAAGUGGUCGUCCUAUCAAGAAAUCAAGCUUGUUAAGGAGAUGGUUAGCAGAAGGGUUGUCCCCAGUAGACAAUACAUGUAGUGAUGUUGAUGCUGCCAUUAGCAAUUUCGAUAAGCUUGUUGACCGGAGCAUCAUCCAGCCAACGGAUGCCAGCGGUAACAGCACAGAGGUGAAGACAUGCCAUACCCAUGGCAUGAUGCUGGAGUUCGUCCUGCGCAAGUCCAUGUCCGACAACUUCGUUACCGUGUUGUAUGAUGGGCAGUCUACCCCACGCCUACCCAAUAACAUCCGCCGGCUUGCUCUGCAUCAUGCAAGGCCCAGAGAGGUGCAAGGUUUAACUCUUGUUCGCUCACUGACAAUCUUGGGCGAGGCGCACCCAUCUGUCCUGGACUUCUCCAAGUAUGAACUGCUGCGAGUUUUGGAUCUGGAAGAGUGCAUUGUACCCUUGGAGGAUGGCCAUCUCAAGUUGAUAUGCAGAAAACUGUUGCUGCUGAGGUACCUAUGCCUUGGGAAAGCUGUUAUUGCUACGGUGCUUCCCAAGGAGAUCAGCAAGCUUCAAUUAUUGGAUACACUGGAUGUGAGAACUACACCGAUAGAGAUUCUGCCAACGCAAGUCCUGGAGCUGCCAUGUCUAGUUCAUCUCUUUGGGAAGUUCAAGCUCAAGCAAGGUGUAGGAGACAGGAAAAUGAGUAAGCUACAGACUUGGUUGUCAAUGAAGAGCAAAUUGGAAACACUGGCAGGGUUUGUUGUGGACAACAGCAAGAGCCAAGAGUUUGCACAGCUCAUGUACAAUAUGAAUGAUUUGACAAAGGUGAAAAUAUGGUGCGAGUCUACGGCCGACACCAGCAGCUCAAGUCAUCUCUCAAAGGCCAUCAAGGGGUUCAUUGAGAGAAGCACCGAGUUCAAAGGGACCCCUUCGCUCUCACUAAAUUUCGAGGGCGAGUUGUCCCAAGACAUACUGGAUUUCUCUCUGGAGAAAAGAAAGCAAUCUUGCUGCUAUCUUGAAUCGCUCAAGCUGCAUGGAAGCAAGAUAUGCAGCCUGCCCCGCUUUGUUGCCUUUCUGGGUGGUCUCACUAAGGUAAGCCUUUCAGCCCCUCAGCUGAGCCUGAGCCAAGACUUCCUAGCUGCCCUGAGAAAAAUGCCCGGCCUGUUGCACUUGAAGCUGGUGGCAACUAGCCUGGACAAGUUCGUCAUCACAAAAGGUGAGCUCGAGAGCCUGACACGCCUGACCAUUGUGGUGGAAUCCAUGGUUUGUCAGCUGGAUAUCCAUGUGGGAGCUCUACCUCGCCUCAAGUCGCUGCAGCUGCUAUGCAAAAAUCUAGAUGGCUCUACUUUCAGCACGUCAGCAGUCCACUCCUUUCGACAUCUUGAGGAGAUUUCUCUGCAUCGCGAAGUGGGCGAUGAAACAAAAAAUAAGUGGAAAGAAGCAGCAAAGAAUCACCCAACUCGUCGUCCCAAGAUCUUGUUCCUCUAG
rnacentral:rRNA from 1 species